GACCUAGCAGAGGCCGGCGGCGGCGGCGCAGGUGUGCCGUCCCCCUGAGCCACUCCCCGCCAUAGAGUCCGACGACGGUGCAGGUGCCUUCCUCGUCGGCCGCCGUGCCCCGCCGUCCUUAGCCACGCCUAGCCGUGCUCCCUGCCCGCUGUCCUUCUAGUUGAUUGGCCCUCAUGCUCCGACGUGGACAUCUUCUGCUAAUGGAGAUUGGCCCAUACACGAUGGAGAUUGGAAUUUGUGAAGAUUGUUUUUCAUUGGGAGAUAAGUAGCAUUUUCCGAGUCAGCUUUCAGUAGAAGUGGAAGAGUACUUAGUGAGCACCGCAGUCGUCUGACCCCUGAUUUGCUAGAGGCUUUAAUGUGUUCACAAAACUGGGAGAGAAACAAAGCUAAAGAUGAUGAGAAGACCGAGGCUGCUAGUUUCUGGAGUUGCCUUGAUGAUAUACAAGAAGGUUUAGAGCGCAUCACACUAUAGAGGGGGUUCCUUCUGUACUUCCUACAAGUCAGCUCAACUUCAACAAACAAUGAUGUCGAACACAUACCAAGGCUGUAGCUGUUAGCUUGCUACCUCUGCAAUACUUUUGCGCACGAUCAUGUUUACCUUAAGUUAGUUAUGGUCACAUGGAACCUUAUGUUGGAGUCAAUAAAUUAUGUCAAGCGAGUCAGACAAAUUUUGUAGUCAAUAAAUUAUGUCAAGCGAGUCAGACAAAUUUCGUCCUUAUUAAAUGUGGUGUUUGCAUUGAUA